GACGAACGCUGGCGGCGUGCUUAACACAUGCAAGUCGAACGGAAAGGCCCUGCUUUUGUGGGGUGCUCGAGUGGCGAACGGGUGAGUAACACGUGAGUAACCUGCCCUUGACUUUGGGAUAACUUCAGGAAACUGGGGCUAAUACCGGAUAGGAGCUCCUACAGCACAGUGGGGGUUGGAAAGUUUCGGCGGUUGGGGAUGGACUCGCAGCUUAUCAGCUUGUUGGUGGGGUAGUGGCUUACCAAGGCUUUGACGGGUAGCCGGCCUGAGAGGGUGAACGGCGACAUUGGGACUGCGAUACGGCGCAGACUCCUACGGGACGCAGCAGUGGGGAAUAUUGCAGAAUGGGCGGAAGCCUGAUGCAGCAGCGCCGCGUGCGGGAUGACGGCCUUCGGGUUGUAAACCGAUUUCGCCUGUGACGAAGCGUGAGUGACGGUAAUGGAUAAGAAAGCACCGGCUAACUACGUG
rnacentral:rRNA from 1 species